UACGGAGGGGGCUAGCGUUGUUCGGAAUUACUGGGCGUAAAGCGCACGUAGGCGGCUUUGUAAGUUAGAGGUGAAAGCCCAGGGCUUAACCCUGGAAUUGCCUUUAAGACUGCAUCGCUAGAAUUGUGGAGAGGUAAGUGGAAUUCCGAGUGUAGAGGUGAAAUGCGUAGAGAUCGGAAAGAACACCAACGGCGAAAGCACUCUGCUGGGCCGACACUGACACUGAGAGACGAAAGCUAGGGGAGCGAAUGGG
rnacentral:rRNA from 1 species